rnacentral:rRNA from 1 species
UACGGAGGGUGCAAACGUUGCUCGGAAUCAUUGGGCGUAAAGCGCACGUAGGCGGACUGUUAAGUCGGAUGUGAAAUCCCUCAGCUUAACUGAGGAAGUGCAUUCGAAACUGGCAGUCUUGAGUAUGGAAGAGGGUCGCGGAAUUCCCGGUGUAGAGGUGAAAUUCGUAGAUAUCGGGAGGAACACCAGUGGCGAAGGCGGGUCUCUGGGCCGAUACUGACGCUGAGGAGCGAAAGCGUGGGGAGCAAACAGG